CCUAAUGGCAGCAACAAUCUCAGCUAGAUCCUUGUGCCUCACCACUAUACUCCUAUUAUCAGAUACCAUCUCCUCCACCACUUUCCCAUUAUUCCCAUUCCCCCAACUCAUGGAAGACGACCCUCCAUCCUCCGACGAUACAUUAUCCGAUUUCCUCCCUGAAUAAUUCUUCAUCCUCAAAUUGACAUCAUCAAUCUUAGAAGCUGGAAGACGACCCUCCAUCCUCAGACGAUACCUUAUCUGAUUUCCUCCCUGAAUAACUCUUCAUCCUCAAAUUCACAUCAUCAAUCUUAGAAGCUUCCUCACUCUUCAUUGACCCAAAAUUAGACCGAGUUGGCCCAAACCCAGAUCUUAUCUCAUCCUUUUCUUCCUCU
rnacentral:lncRNA from 1 species